rnacentral:lncRNA from 1 species
AACAUCAACCAUAUACACGUAACAAAGAUCCAAGCACGACAAACACAUAAACCAUCCACACCCGCAAAAUAAAUUAAGAAUCAAGAUAAAAAUAAAAAUCGGGAGAAGAAAUAGACCUCAAAUUUAUUUUAAAUCCCAAUUGUUCGAUGGAGCGACAAAUCGAACCCGAACUCAAAACCUCGAUCCUCCAAACUCAAUGCAGAUCCAACCCGAUAAUUUGAACAAAAUGACCGAUUGUUGUUCCGACAAGAUAAGGACGAAAUUGGAAAACAGAGGAGUUGAUUGGUAGGCUAUUUUUGGCGAUCGUUCAAUCGAAAUCACGGCUGGUUCAUCGGCGUUUCCUAUGGGUUUCGGCGGGUUAGACAUAAAAUGGCUCAGGAGCAGGCUAGUUGGUGAUUUUUGGUGAAGGGGAGAUGGUUUUGGCUCGAAACAAAGAGGGGACGAUCGGAGUUAUUCUAGUGAAAAUUCAUCGAAAAAUUCUACUGUUUCUCACUGUUUUCCUCCGAUCAUUCCCCGUUCUCUUUUGUUUCUCCCCUCUCUCCAUCUUUCUCUUCUUUUUUCUCACUGAUUUAUGUGUGUGCCUGCGUUGUGCGAAUUGUGUUGUUGUGUAUGUAUUUCAAUGGUGUGUGUUGAGUGGAAUCCUAAGUAAGCUCUGUGGAGUGUAUAUGUAACUGUGUGUGUAUUGUUAAUUCGUUGAUAAUUGUGUAGCUGUGUGCAUAUAGAAUGGAAUAUAUGGAAUCUAUGUGUGUGUGAAUUGCAUGGAGCGUGUGUAUCGUAUUGUUGGUGAAAUGGAAAUUGUGAGGUCAAAGAGUGUGUACCCCUCUUUGUGAAUUUGUGUGUGUGAAUAUAUGGGGGAGUAUGUGUGAACUAGGAUUGGAAUUCUGUGUGUGAAUUGAAUAGUAUGUAUAUGUACUCCAGUGAUGGUGCGCCUUGUAGACACGUAAUUUUGUUCGCCUCAAAAAUUAAUUUCUACUCAUUUUACCUCUCCCUACCCCUACUCCUACCUACCCCUACCCUACCCCUGUCUAUUCCCUACUUCACCUACCCCUCCAAAUCCAACAACUACACUGCCAUUUCUUUUUUUCUUCUUUGACUGAAAAAACAACACCCACAACAAUAAUACACAUAGCUGGCACCCCAUUUUCCAAUGAACAAGAAUACUACACACAUUAUAUCACAAAAACACAUAAUCCACCAAAUACACACUCACUCACGGGAAACUAAAAAAAAUAAUAAUACUCACACACUCUAUUCACAAAUUCCAUCUCUAUUUUCACUCCCCUUUUCUUCUAUUUCACAAAUCCACGCACACACGCCAUCACAUAUACAUACUACCCACACUCCACGGAAUACACACACAGAGGGAAAAAUUGAGGAAGAGAUGUGAGAAAGGAGAGAAGAACAGAGAGAGAGAAUCUGAGAGAGGGAGAUGAAAGAAGAAGAUUGAAAAUGGGAAGGUAAAAUAGAGGAGAAAAACCACAGCUUAGGUGAGAUUUUUCGGCAAAUAAUUCGCCAAAAUUCUUGAUCUUCUCCGGUCUAAUCCACCUGAAAGUCGUCUCUAUUGUCCGUCCAAAACCAGUCGAAGCAAUUCCCUCCGAGAAAUCCAUUACAGUAGUGCACGUACUGCUUGGCGUCGCUCCGAGUUAGGUGCGGUUGGCGGGCAGUCAUUAAAAAGUUUCGGGUUGGCCUCGGGUUGAUUAUUGAUCUUUAAUUCGAGUUGGUUUGUUUGGAUUGAAGUUCGAUUCGAGGUUUCUGCGCGGAUUUUAUCUCGUUUAAUCUAAUAAUAAUUGGUUGAAAGCGUCAUUGAGGUCCAUUUCUCAAUUCUAUUUCUUAAUUUUUUUUACGAUUGCGGAUAUGGAUUUGAUAUUAUGUUCCAUUUGUUAGGUGAUGUAGCGGUUGUGUGUUGAUGAUUGUGGAUUGAAUAAUUUUGUUAAUGUUUGGUGUUGUUUAUUUGAAUAACUAGUCGUGGUAUAAAAUUGAUGUUGGUAUGGGUGGAUGACUAUGUUCAUGUUAAAAUUCAUGUGUUAAAAGAAAUUUGGGAAGGGGUUAAACGCGAUAAAGUGAAUUCGUUGUAAUUUUGGAUUAUCAAUUAUAUUGAAUUUGUUGGAAUCAUGAUAAACCAAAACUAGUAGGUGAAUGCUAAGUCGGGUAGGUAAAAUUUUAGGAAUAGUGUUUUGUUGAAUGUUUGAAUGUGUAUGUGAAUAGUUCUUUCCACUUUAUCGCACAAGAUUUGAAAAUGUAUUCAUUCGUCGAGGAAUGUCUUGAGAUUAUAUUGUACUUAUUCACUGAGGAAUGCCCCGAAGUAUUUUGUACUCGGAGGAGGUUCGUGAUAAAGGCCUGAGGUAUCGGUAAAGCAUUGGAGCUUAGUCUAGUAUUAGUUUAGAAUAAGAUUUACAUUUCCGUAUUUUUCUAUUUUUGGGACUAUAUAACUCGGACUGGACAUAUUUGAUUUUGAACUUUGUUAGAUUUAUUUGUUGCUUGUUUUACGUGUUUUAUGUGGUUUACACAUUUAUAGUAUCAAAUUAGCCGAUAUGCUUCACCGAGCGAUCGUAGUCGAACCACGAGAUCGAGGGGUGCCUAACACCUUCCCCUCGGUCAACAGAAAUCCUUAGCCGGGAUCUCUGUUCGCAAACUAGUUUUAAAGAGUCAAAUCAUUUUGAAAAGAAUUUUUCAAAGGUGACUUGGCACACCGGAUUAUUUCAAGUGGCGACUCUGAGUUUCUAAUGUAAAAAUAAUCCUUUUUCGGAACAAUUUUUCAUAUUUUGUCACUUUAAUUAUAAAAAACCCUUUCAAACUUUGAAAUUAAUUUUUUUGGGUUAAAAAGGAGUUGUGACAGCUCUGGCGACUCCACUGGAGACUUUUCAGGAUUCGAGCUUAUUUUUCGGAGUUAUUUCGGCUUAAUUUGACAUUGUGGGUGUACCAAUAUUGUUUGUGUUAGCGUUUGUGUUUAUUGUUGAGUGCUUAUGUGCUACGUGUUUACAGUUUUUAUCUUAUGUGUUACCACUUUAUAUCUGGCAUCAUUACAUAACCCGAGUCAAUUUUUUCUGCAACAAGUUUUGGAGUGCACGUCAUGUGCACGAACUCUAGUUGAGUCACUCUUAUUUUAGGAGGGGGAACUGUCAGAAUUAUUGAGUGGAUGGAAAUCAAAGCAGCCACUAUCGACCAUAUGCUCCCCCGAACGGCCUUGUUAGUGGACCUCAGCGUAGGUCAGCCUUUAGGCCAUGCUUAUCUGCAUCAUAUUGAGACCUAGUGGGAUCCAUGUGGCCCAUUGUAGGAGACUCGCCUCUAAAACAUCCCUACGUGCUAAAUGUUGCAUCUCUGAGGAAAACGUGAUCAUUUGACAGACUGAUAUUGGGAAAGCAUGUGUCAGAAGUAAAGUGCGUAGGCAAGAAAAUGUUGAAAAAAUGAAAAAAAGAAGAAGAAAAAAGUGAGUCAAAAAGAAAAAAAAAAGAGUUUCGUAAGUUUUUAGAGUUCUUUAUGGUUUUUAAUUUUUUUUCACAAUUCAAAAAUUCAAAAAGAUUUUUUUACUUUUUGCGCUCAUUUUCUCAAAAAAUUAAAACGUCAAAAAGAUUUUUCUUUUGUUUCUUUAGUAAACAUUCACAAUUCUAAAAUUCAAAAAAAAAAAAAAGAUUUUUUCAAAUAGGAGCAUUUUAUAAAAGAAAAAAUUCAAAAUAAUAGAAGUUUUGUACAUUUCAUAUAACGAAAAUAUCAAAAAGAUUUUUCUUUUAUAGUUGUUGAUGUUGAUUUUAUGUGAAGUGUCUGACUAAAACCCCAAAAAGAUUUUAUUUGUUUGUCUUUGAUCGUGUCUCUUAAGUUAGGGUCAAUCUGUUAGUUAAUCACUAAUUGUCCAAUCUGGACGAUCUACGCAUCCCUGAUUCUUCUCUCUCGGAAGUGAGAUACGUAGGUAGCCUAUUGUGGGUUCGGGGAUCUUAGUUUAAAAAAUUCAAAAAGAUUUUCUUCGCUCUUUAUUAGAGUAAGUGUCAUAUACAUAUCUAAAAGAAAACCACAAAAAGAUUUUUCUUUAAUAGUUUCAAGAUUCAUUUUCGUAUGAAGUUCAAAUUCAAAAAUCAAAAAAGUUUUUUCUUUGAUAAUCAUAGGUUUCAUUUUGUAUAGGGAUUUAAACUUGAAAAAUGUAAAAAGAUUUUAGUCAAUUCUUUUGACAAUUUGGUUUUUUUCUUUUCUUUUCGAAGUUUCAAGAAAAAGAAAAAGAAAGAAAAAAAUUUUAAUUGUCCAUUUUGGUAAGACUUCACGAACUAUGCACACCCGAUUCUCCUCUUUCGGGAGUGAGAUACGUAGGCUCCUUUCUUAGGUUCGGUGUUCUUUUCAAAUAAAAAAAGGAGAGAGAAAAAAGGUUUAGAGAAAAGGUUUUGAGAAAGUGUUGAACUCUAACACGUUUGUUAUUUCUAUUUAGUUAAUUUAAGGUGGUUGGUUUGUGGUAUUCUGGUUGUUUUUCCAUGUCACAUCAAAUCCAAGGAAGGGUUAGUUGUGUCCAACAAGGAUAUAGAGAGUGACCUCAUGGAUCAAACAAAGAGCCAGGUAAAUGAGAGUUUAAAGGAAGAGAAUUUUAGACUAAGGCAACAAAGGAUGGAAAUGUAUCCAGCUUGGGCCAGUGAGCUGCCUCUUUCUUCAUUCCUCACUAUUGAUCCUACAGAUACCUCGAGUUUUCCACUAAAAUCACAAAGCUGGUUUUCAACUGUUGUUGAUGCAUCACAACAUGACUCAGAAUUCAUUCCAAGCCAAAAAUAUUCCAAUACUUCCAGCACUUUUCCUUUAGCUUCUCAGUAUAAGCUUGCUACAUUGAUAGCACCACAUACUACCUGUGCUUUUGUUGCUCAACCUUCUACUGAGGCUUCUACUUUGGCUAUCAAUACAACGGUUGUGCUACCUCAAGCUGCUAGUGGAUUCAUGUUCAAUACUCUUGAUGAUCAUUGCUAUAUUUCUGAGCCCACGUCAAUGUUGAUUGGACCACCACAAUUUCUUAACAAGAAGCCUAGAGAUAAUUUUACACCAAUUGGAGAGUCGUAUGCCAGUUUAUUUCAGACAUUGAGAGAGUUGGGCAUAAUCAUUUCUCUCCUUGGGCACACUCUUAAUUCUCGUUCAAAAAAUUUUAAUCCUAAUAUACGAUGUGCGUAUUAUUCUGCUACUCAGGGUCAUAGUAUUGAAGAUUGUCGAGAUUUGAAAAGAGAAAUUGAAAAGAUGAUUCAAGAUAGAGCAAUUAUGGUGCAGAACAUUGGCAGUGAGGAAAACUCUAGUCAUGCUGAUAUGCAAACCAGUGGCUGAGAUGUCAAGCUCAACAAUUGAGAAGUCACCCCUCUCCUUGUUAGGAUGGAUGUUUGGUAGUUUGUUUUGUCUUCUUUUAUAUUUUUAAAAUUAUUUUAGGGUUGUAGUUCGGGAUCUAUCUUGUUUGUCCCUUUGUCGUUUAUGUUCAAACCCUUCUAUCUUUUGUUUUAACUAAAUGAAGCGUCCCUUUUUCCUUUGUGUUUUAAAUAUGCAUUGUUUGUUUGUUUUCUUUACAUAGUAUAUUUUAUGUUUGUUUUAAUGAUAGGACAUGCUUGCGAAAUUUUCAGCUAGAUUUUUAAAUCUAGUUUAAUGAUGAACAUUCAAUCAGAGGGCUAAAGUUUGAAAAAAAAAAUAUCUGAGAAAAUAGGUAGAGUGCUGAGACCUUUGGUGACAAGUUGAAGCCUUCUUUGUAAAUUAAGACAAUUAUUUUGAGAAUCACAAGAAUAACUUGAUCGUUAAUCGAAAGGCAUGUCCCAAUUAAGUCAAAUAGUGGAUGCGUGUCCUUUAUCAAGAGAAACAAGAAGAUAAUUAGCUCCACAAAAGCAUGGAUUAUUCGAUAUGAGGGAUGUUUGACAAGUGUAGAAGAAGUGGUACACAUAUUCAAUUAAAGUUAGUGCUGUUAAAGUGUCACAAAUGAUCUUCAUCUUUCACUUUCAUAUUGCAUGAUAUGUACUUGUAUUUUCAAGGAUUGAUAUGACGAAGACAUUUCAUUCUGAUAUCCAAAUAUCGUGUCAUCCUUUGUUUACCUUAUUGAGCCUUAGUGUUGUUUUCUUUCAUACACCUCUUUUGGAAUCAAGAUAGAGUCAGCAAAACUCAAAGAAAAGUGUUGAGCAAAAGAAUAAAGUCAGAAAGUUUCAAAAAAAAGAAGAGAGAAAAAUGUGUUCAAAAAGAAAGAAAAGAGCAUCAAGAAAAGUAGAGUCAAAAAAAUUGUGAAGAAAAAAAGUCAAUAAAAGAGAAAAAUAAAAAAAUCAGAAUCAAUCAAAACAACAAGCUUCCAGAACUACGUGUGACCUGAUUCUCCUCUAUCGGGGGUGAGAUAUGUAGGCUGCCCUAUUCGAGGCUCGGUCCAACCAAAUAAAUAAUUUAGAAUUGCCCAAUCAACAGAAACUGGGGCAUGAGUUAAUUCUCAUUGUUUGAGUCGAUUCCAAAAGUUGUAAGUCCUACCCCAUUUCAAGUGUCAUUUGAACCUCAUGCCAUCCUUUCAUUCAUACCUUAACCAAAAGCCGAGUUACAACCAAAGAAAGACCUUCAGAUUAAUCUUUGAAGAUGUUAAGGCUAAGCAGACAAUGGAUAUGAGGAUGCAUUUGGGGAACUACUUGUCUUCCACAACAUAAGGAAUCAAGAGAGAAAUAAAAAUAAGAGAUCCUUAUUGGUGAAAACCCUCACGGGCACCGUAGGAAGAUGGUAAGUUGAGACAAAUAAAAAUGACAGAGUCUUAUUGGUGAAAAUUCUCAAGGGCACCAUAAGGCAAUGGUGAGCCGAGAGAAAAAUAAGAGAGGCUUGUUGACAAAAACUCUUCAAGUUGCCACUAGCCAAAUGAGGUCUUCAGAUGAAAUUGGCCAAAGGAAGCAACUCAGUUUCGGCGUCAUUAACUCAACAACAAUUUGUGAGAGUUUUGGAUGGAAAGAUCAGACAAUUUAAUCCAAAAUGCAUGUCAUAAUUAUUGAGUUGACUGUCAUUUUCAGAUAAACUUUUCUUUUAUCUUUUUCAAAGGGGACAUUCAUUGUCGUUUCUUUCUUCUCUAUAAUUAUAUUUUUAUUUUCUUGAGUCAGUUAUUUAAAUAAAAUAAAAAUUAUUGUCAUUUUUCUCUUAUCUUUGAGUCCAGUCCAUAUCUAAACAAAUGAGAAAGAAUUUCAAAAUCGGCUACUAGAUUCUUCAAUUGCACAAAGCAAGACAAAAGGUCAGCACAUGAAAGGGACAUAAUUGUGAGCUGAAAUAAUUAGGCAUGCAAAAGUUUUGUCAACAGACAAGUCUGGGAACUCAGAAAAAUACCAAGGUUUAAAGGGUUUACCCAAGAAGCAUGACAAAGCAGAGAUACUGUGUUUAUUUCAGAGUCACUCUUAAUAAUCUGAGUUUGAGUCAAUAACUGCGACAAAGUAGGGGAAAGUGCUAGAAAUCUAAAAUAAAAUGAAGGGAAUGAACACUGGACUAGGUGUUGGGACAGCCAAGUGCUGCAAGCCACCACUAAGUUUUUAACUGACAAAUUUUCUUAGUUGAAACAAGGGCAAAUUCGCUUCACUUAAUUCAGCGCCCAUUGGAAAGGUACAUCCUUGAAAAUUUAUUUUAUGUUCAAGACCCUCUCGGAAAAUGAGAAUUCACUUUAUGUUCAAGACCCUCCUGAAAAAUGGGAAUUUACUUUACGUUCAGGACCUUCCUGAAAAAUGAAAAUCUACUUUAUGUCCAGGACCCUCCUGAAAAAUGGGAAUCUACUUUAUGCUCAGGAACCUCCUGAAAAAUGGAAGUUUACUUUAUGUUCAGGACCAUCCUGAAAAAUGGGAAUUUACAUUUUGUUCAGGCACCUUCUGAAAAAUGGAAAUUUACUUUAUGUUCAGGACCCUCCUGAAAAAUGGAAAUUUAUUUUAUGUUCAGGACCCUCCUGAAAAAUGGGAAUUUACUUCAGUUCAGAACCCUCCUGGAAAAUGGGAAUUUAAUUUGUGUUUAGGACCCUCCUAGAGAAUGGGAAUCUACUUUAUAUUCAGGAUCCUCUUGAAAAAUGAAAAUUUAUUUUAUGUUCAAGACCCUUCUGAAAAAUGGAAAUUUAAUUUAUAUUAAGGACCCUCCUGAAAAAUGGAAAUUUAUUUUAUGUUCAGGACCUUCCUAAAAAAUGACAAUUUAUUUUAUGUUUAGGACCCUCCUGGAAAAUAGCAAUUUACUUCAUGUCAGGACCCUCCUGGAAAAUGGGAACUUACUUUCAUUUAGGACCCUCCUGAAAAAUGGAAAUAUACUUCAAUUCAAGACCCUCCUGAAAAAUAAGAAUUUACUUAUGUUCAGGACCCUCCUAGAAAAUAGAAAUUUAUUUUAUGUUCAGGACCCUUCUAGAAAAUAGAAAUUUAUUUUAUGUUCAGGACCCUCCUGAAAAAUGAAAAUCUACUUUAUGUUCAAGACCCUCCUAAAAAAUAAAAAUUUACUUUAUGUUCAGUAUCCUCCUAGAAAAUAAGAAUUCACCUUAUGUUCAGGGCCCUCCUAGAAAAUGGUAAUUUAUCUUAUGUUUCGGAUCCUCCUGAAAAAUAGAAAUCUACUUUAUGUUCAGGACCCUCCUGGAAAAUUGGAAGGUACUUUAUGUUCAAGACCCUCCUGCAAAAUGAUAAUUCACCUUAUGUUUCGGACCCUCUUGGAAAAUGAGAAUUUAUUUUAUGUUAAGGACCCUCCUGAAAAAUAGGACAUUACUUUAUGUUCAAGACCCUCCUAAAAAAUGGGAAUUUACUUUAUGUGCAGGACCCUCUUGGAAAAUGAGAAUUUACUUUAUGUUCAGGACCCUCCUGAAAAAUGGGACAUUACUUUAUGUUCUGGACCCUCCUGAAAAAUAGGAUUUUACUUUACGUUCAAGACACUCCUGAAAAAUGAGAAUUUACUUUACGUUCAGGACCUUCCUGAAAAAUGGGAAUUUACUUUAUGUUCAGGAUCCUCCUGGAAAAUUAAAAUUUUCUUUGUGUUCAAGAACCUUUUGGAAAAUGAGAAAUUUGCUUUAUGUUUAGGACCCUUCUGAAAAAUGGGUAUUUACUUUCAUUCAGGACCCUCCUGAAAAAUGGGAAUCUCAUUUAUGUUCAGGGCCCUGCUGGAAAAUGAGAAUUUACUUUAUGUUCAGGACCCUCCUGAAAAAUGAGAAUUUACUUAUGUUCAGGAUCCUCCUAGAAAAUGGAAAUCUACUUUAUGUUUAGGAUUCUCCUGAAAAAUGGGAAGUUAAUUUACUUUAUAUUCAGGACCCUCUUGAAAAAUGGAAAUUUACUUUAUGUCUAGGACCCUCCUGGAAAAUGAAAAUUUACUUUAGGUUCAAGACCCUCUUGAAAAAUGGAAAUUUACUUUAUGGUCAGGGCCUUUCUAAAAAAUGGGAAUUUAUUUCAGUUUCAGGACCCUCCUGGAAAAUGAAAAUUUAUUUUAUGUUCAGGACCCUCCUGAACAAUGGGAAUCUAGUUUAUGUUAAGGACCUUCCUGAAAAAUGAGAAUCUACUUUAUGUUCAGGACCCUCCUGAAAAAUGGGAAUUUACUUUAUGUUCAUGACCCUCCUGGAAAAUGGAAAUUUACUUUAUGUUCAAGGCCCUACUGGAAAUGGGAAUUUACUUUAUGUUCAGGACCCUCCUGGAAAAUGAGAAUUUUCUUUAUGUUCAGGACCCUCCUGGAAAAUGAGAAUUUAAUUUAUGUUCAGGACCCUCCUGGAGAAUGGGAAUCUACUUAAUGUUCAGGACCUUCCUGGAAAAUGAAAAUCUACUUUAUGUUCAGGACCCUCCUGAAAAAUGUGAAUUUAGUUUAUGUUCAGGACCUCCUGGAAAAUGAAAAUUUAUUUUAUAUUCAGGAUCCUCCUGAAAAAUGGAAAUUUAUUUUAUGUUCAGGACUCUUUUAAAAAAUAAAAAUUUACUUUAUGUACAGGACCCUCCUGAAAAAUGGAAACUUACUUUCAUUCAAGACACUCCUGGAAAAUGAGAAUAAUCUUCAAUUCAGGACCUUCCUGGAAAAUGAGAAUUUACUUAUGUUCAGGACCCUCCUGAAAAAUGAAAAUUUAUUUUAAGUUCAGGACCCUCCUAGAAAAUAGAAAUCUACUUUAUGUUUAGGACCCUCCUGGAAAAUGAAAAUUUACUUUAUGUUCAGGAUCCUUCUGGAAAAUAAGAAUUCACCUUAUGUUCAGGUCUCUUCUGGAAAAUGAGAAUUUAUUUUAUGAUCAGGAUCCUCCUGAAAAAUGGAAAUCUUCUUUAUGUUUAGGGCCUUCCUAGAAAAUGGGAAUGUACUUUUUGUUCAGGACUCUCCUGAAAAAUGGGAAUUCACCUUAUGUUCAGGAUCCUCCCUGAAAAUGAAAAUUUAUUUUAUAUUCAGGAUCCUCCGGGAUAAUGGGACAUUACUUUAUGUUCAAGAUCCUUCUGAAAAAUGGAAAUUUACUUUAUGUUCAGGACCCUCCUGAAAAAUAGGAAUUUACUUUAUGUUCAGGACCCUCCUAGAAAAUGGGACAUUACUUUAUGUUCAAGACCCUCCUAAAAAAUGGGAAUUUACUUUAUGUUCAGGACCCUCCUAGAUAAUGGGAAUUUACCUUAUGUUCAGGACCCUCCUGGAAAAUGAGAAUUUACUUUAUGUUCAGGACCCUCCUGAAAAAUGGAAAUUUACUUUAUGUUCAAGACCCUCCUGGAAAAUGGGACAUUACUUCAAUUCAGGACCCUCCUGAAAAAUGGGAAUUUACCUUAUGUUUAGGACCCUCCUGGAAAAUAGGACAUUACUUUCAGAAAAAGGAAAUCUUUCUUUGUCAUUACAUAUGCUUGAGAUGAUUUUUCUUACUAGUUUUAAUGUGAUUUCAGGAGCCCGCUUGGAGAAUAGGGUGAUGAAAUUAAACGUCAGGAGCCCGCCUGAAGAACAAGGUGAUAAAACUGAAAAGUGAUGAAAUAGCAAGUCAGGAGCCCGCCUUAAGAACAGGGUGAUGAAAUUGAAAGGUGAUGAAAUAUCAAGUCAGGGACACACCUGAAGAAUAGGGUGAUGAAAUUGAAAGUCGAGUAACAAAGUGAAUAAAUAAAAAGCCAAGCAAUAAGAUGAAAAAUUUCAAGUCAGGAGCCCGCCUGAAGAAUAGGGUGAAGAAUUUCAAAUCCAAGUUCAAGUUCACAGAUACCACCUGCAGAACAUGGCCAACUUUGAGUUCAUCUCCAACGCCAAAUUUUGUAUGGAGAAAAAAUCUAUCUUCAAGUUCAAUUGAAAGAAGAUUAGAUCUUUUAUCACUUUUGAAAACAUCGGAAACCCAAGACAAGAAUCAAAAGAUGAUGCAUAAAUAGGAUUUUUAUAAUUUCAUUUAUCUUUUAACUUGUAAUUUUUAUUUUGAUAUAAUGGUAGGGCCGCAGAUCGGAACGUCAACGGGACCUCACUCGACUCUCCAACUCGGUAUAGUCCAUCUCCUUUUCAACCCUGGAACUACAUGUGUCUUGACUCUCUCAUAACUCGGGAUAGGUUGGAUAGCCAAAUCAAGACUCGGUUGCCCAUCUUCCUUGUGUUUAUUUCUUCUGAAUAAGGGUCGGUCAAAAUUUUAUCUCGUUGUCUACUUCUUUGUCUGAAAACACUUUGUGUUUACAUCCAAAGAGGGGAAUAAUGUAGACACGUAAUUUUGUCCACUCCAAAAAUUAAUUUCUACUCAUUUCACCUCUCCCUACCCUACCCCUACCUACCCCUACCUAUUUUCUACUUCACCUACCCCUCCUAAUCCAACAACUACACUGCUAUUUCUUUUUUUUUUUUCUUCUUUAACUAAAAAACAACACCCACAACAAUAAUACACAUAGCUGGCACCCCAUUUUCCACUGAACAAGAAUACUACACACACUACAUCACAAAAAUACACAAUCCACCAAAUACACACUCACUCACGGGAAACUAAAUAAAAAUAAUAAUACUUACACACUCCAUUCAUAAAUUCCAUCUCUAUUUUCACUUACCUUUUCUUCUGUUUCACAGAUCCAUGCACACAUGCCAUCACAUAUACAUACCCAUACUCAACGGAAUACACACACAGAGGGAGAAAUAGAGGGAGAGAUGUGAGAGAUGAGAGAAGAAUAGUGAGAGAGAAUUCGAGAGAGGGAGAUGGAAGAAGAAGAUUGAAAAUGGAAAGGUAAAACAGAGGAGAAAAACCACAGCUUAGGCGAGAUUUUUCGAUGAAUAAUUCUCCGGAAUCCUUGAUCUUCUCUGGUCUAAUCCACCUGAAAUUUGUCUCUAUUGUCCGUCCAAAACUAGUCGAAGCAAUUCCCUCAGAGAAAACCAAACUAGCGACUGAAAUCCAUGACAGCAAUUCACGCACUUCUUGGCGUCGCUCCGAGUUAGGUGUGGUUGGCGGGCAGUCAUCGAAAAGUUCUGGGUUGGCCUCGAGUUGUUUAUUGAUCUUUGAUUCGAGUUGGUUUGAUGGGAUUGAAGUUCAAUUCGAGGUUUCUGUGCGGAUUUCAUUUCGUUUAAUCCAAUAAUAAUUGGUUGAAAGCGAUAUUGAGGUCCAUUUCUCAACUCUAUUUCUUAAUUUUUUUUACGAUUGUGGAUAUGGAUUUGAUAUUACGUUCCAUUUGUUGGGUGAUGUAGUGGUUGUGUGCUGAUGAUUGUGGAUUGGAUAAUUUUAUUAAUGUUUGGUGCUGUUUAUCUGAAUAAUUAGUCGUGGUAUGAAAUUAAUGUUGAUAUGGGUGGAUGACUAUGUUCAUGUUAAAAUUUAUGUGUUAAAAGAAAUUUGGGAAGGGGUUAAACGAGAUAAAGUGAAUUCGUUGUAAUUUUGGAUCAUUGAUUAUAUUGAUUUUUUUUGGAAUCGUGAUAAACCAAAACUAGUAGGUGAAUACUAAGUCGGGUAGGCAAAAUCUUAGGAAUAGUAUUUUGUUGAAUGUUUGAAUGUGUAUGUGAAUAGUUCUUUCCACUUUAUCGCACAAGAUUUGAAGAUGUAUUCAUUCACCGGGAAAUGCCCCCGAGAUUAUACUGUACUUAUUCAUCGGAGAAUGUCCCGAAGUAUUUUGUACUUGGAGGAGGUUCGUAAUGAAGGCCCAAGGUAUCGGGUAAAGCAUUGGAGCUUAGUAUACUAUUAGUUUAGAAUAGGAUUUACAUUUCCAUAUUUUUCUAUUUUUGGGACUGUAUAACUCGGACUAGACAUAUUUUUUAUUUUGAACUUUGUUUGAUAUUCUUGUUGCUUGUUUUAUGUAUUUUAUGUGGUUUAUACAUUUAUAGUGUCAAAUUAACCGUUAUGCUUCACCGAGCGACCGUGGUCGAACCACGGGAUUGAGGGGUGCCUAACACCUUCCUCCGGUCAACAGAAAUCCUUAGCCGGAAUCUCUGUUCACAAACCAGUUUUAAAAAUUCAAAUCAUUUUGAAAAGGAUUUUUCAAAGGUGACUUGGCACACCGGAUUAUGCCAAGUGGGAACUCUGAGUUUUGAAUGUAAAAAUAAUUUUUUUCCGGAUCAAAUCUUCAUCUUUUGUCACUUUAAUAAUAAAAACCCUUUCAAACUUUAAAAUUAAUUCUUUUUGGUUAGAAAAGGGGUGUGACACGUCUAGUGAGGGUAUUCUGUGUCUCUUUAUUAUGGAAAAGAUGAUGAUCUAUAAUGGGGUUCCCCCUCUGUACGUCUUGCUAUGUGUAUAUAUUUCUCUUCAGUCGUAAAAAAAAAAACGUGCUGGGGGAGGGGGGUUAAAGGGUAGGGGUAGGGAUGGUGAGGUGGUAUGUGAGGGGUAGGGUGAGUUUGUUAAAUUUGUUAGGAUGAGGUGUUAAUUUUUUAUGAAUUUAUUGCAAUUUUGUUAUUUUUGUAUUUUUGUGGGGAUAUAAUCACACGGGUGAGGGUGUAUGAUAAGUUGAGGUAAAAAAUGGAUAAAUUGGAUUUUGAAAAGGGACAAAUUAGGUGUCUACAAUAUAUAUAUAUAUCUAUCUCUCUCUAUAUAUGACAAAAUCGUCUUUUCAUUAUUUUCAUGAAUUAUUAGUUAAUUAUUUUUAUAUUGUUGACUCAUAUAGUAUAUGGGAUUAGUGCUUUAAAAUAUAUGGUAACGAUUCUUUUUAAGUUUAGGAGUCCUAAAAUAUAUGGUAAGAGGUAACUGUUAUUUUGUAAUUUGUAGGUUUAGUUGUCCAAUUUCACCUAUAUAUUUAUAUUAAUCCGUACAAAAAUUCAAUUCCAUAACAUGACAAGAAAUCUAAUAAAAUAAUAUACUUCCCAUGCAAAACAACAUUGAUUUUUUUUUUUUUUAGCUAUGUCAAUACUACUAAUUAUUUUAUUUUUUUUUAUUUGUGUGCAUAAAUUCAAAUAUAUGUUGAUUAUAUGUUGUCAAUCUCCCGUUGUGUUUUUUUUUCAAGAAAAGUUGUUUGAUCUGGUUGAUUUGUUUUAAAUUUAUGUGUGAAUAUAUAUAUAAUUAUUCACUAAGAGCUUUCUCUUUGUUGUAGCUGAAUUCAGCGAUGAUUAGUUUUAGCUUCCUUCAUGUUAAGCUUGAAAUACUUGUCAUAGUUCUUGCUAUUGCACAAUCUAUCAAUGCAAACCUACGACCUAAGAAACCUUGAGCAGGGAAGGUUAGUUCAUAUUGCUUAAUAUUAGAUUUAUAUACCAAAAUCUUAUAUUUAUACGUAAAAUUAAAUUUACCUUUAACUAGAUUUAUAGUUCGAUUAUGUUUCAAGUUAAGGUCAAAUUCAUAUACUCUGGUGUCAGAAUUUUCUGAACAAGGACAUCCAACAUAUUUUAACAAUGAACUCCAAUUCUGUUACUAUUUGUUGCGUUUGUUGCUAUUAUUUGUUAUUUCUUGUACAUUUUGUUUUUUCAUAUUUGGGACUACUUUGAAUUAUUUUUCUUUGAGUUGAGGGUCUAUCAGAAAUAACAAAAAUAUAAUAUGUUGUUGUUGUUGGUAGUUUUUUCUAAAUUAUUUUAUUUUGCGUUUGUGAAAUUUGAGGGAUAUUGAUCAGAUAUAUAAGAAGAGGAGAAGAAUGUCUAUAAAGUAACUAAAUAAGUAGCAAAGAGAAAUCGUAUGGGUUCUAUGAAGGUGAUUGACUACUCAGUUUAACUUUUAGUUUGAAAAAUCUAUCACCUAAUCUUUUUUGCUGGUGAUGACUGCUUCUACAUAUGUUUAUAAUCUUAGUCUACAAGGAGUAUACUGAGAAAUAGAUUAAAGUAAGCUCCUAUAGAAAUUGUGUCACUUUGAAGCUAGGAAAAAAAUUAUUAAUUUUUUCGUAUAGUUAGAUGUGAUUAAUUACCUAAAGCAUGAAUAUUUACGAGAAGAAUAAGACAAAGAAGAGCGUUGAAACCCACAAGAUCUACACCCCGAAGGUUCUGAAGCGGGUUUAUCCAAAUAUCGAUAUUUUCAGCUAGUCAAUGGAUACAAUAAAUAAUUUCAUUAAUGAUAUUUUGAGAAGCUUACUCAGGAAUAUUCUAGAUUGACUAGGAUCAACAAGAAGCCAACUAUUACAUUUACAUCUAUGAAAAUUCACGCUACAGUGAGACUUGUUUUGCAUUGUGAACUGGCUAAGCAUAGUUUUAUAGAUAUUGAAAAAAAUAUGGCAAAUUUAUUAAUUAAUCGAAUAUUAAUUACCUUCUUAUUUUCAACUUGGCUUAAUGUGUCUAAAUUUCAAUAAUAAUAUAUUGAAGAGUUAUAUUAGGUGGAGCGUAACCUUUUUGCUAUUCUGAAAUACGAGCUUAAGUAUUUUAGAAUAGCAGGUCGGUACACUAAAGUUUCCACAAUGUACGGGGUUCGAGGAUGGCCAGAUCACAAAGAUCUAGGGUAAAGAUGUUGCGUACAAUAAAACAUUCUCUUAUAUACUUUUAAAUUUUUAUGAUUUGUUAAGAUGAUAGCAUAUUCAAUUAACAAAAUUCUACUUGAAGUAGUAUUUCUAUUAAAAAAUGUCUCUAUAAAAGGAUAGAAUAGGCACAUUUCAAAGUUUAGAUAGAAGUCCCUUUUUCUCUUGCAGCAGAAAUUUUGAUACCGAGAGACUGAGGAUAAACUAAAACAGUUAAAAAUGUCAAUUAUUUAAUGAUUGAGCUAAUGAUGAAAUUAAAAAAGAUUUGUGAAAUGUAGGGGUGACUCAAUGAAGAAGACACUUGAAUGAACUAAUGAAAAUCGUGGAUUGACAUCUGAUUUAAUGGAUCUACAAAUUAAAACUUACAAAGUAACAAGGAGUUACUUAAUAUACAUGUAAUUUUUUUUUUUUGAACAUUAAACACCACGUGCAAUGCACGUACACUAAACUAGUAUAUAUAUACACACACAAAUACAACAAUAAUAUAAAUUUUAUGCAUAUCAUAUUAAGAAAUGCAUAUUCUAUAUAAAAAUGAUAUAAUUUUUACCCGUAAAUUCAGUGCUCUAUUUUUUUUACGAGCUAUAUCAGUAUGGUAUAUGAAUUAUAUCAAUAUGGUAUAUGAAUUGUAUCUGAACUACCAGAGCCAAAAUUACCUAAAUUAUAAAAUGACCAUAAUAUAAAAUUUGUUUGGACCGACUGGUCAUGAAUAUCUAAUAACCCUAAUAUGGGCCAAUUAUUUUGAAAAGGACCAACCCAUGUCCUUUUUCCAAAUAAUUACUAUGCAAAGAAGUUUGAGCUUUGGGAAUAUUAAUAUUUCAAGAGAAUUUAGUGGAGAUGAUGAAUUAUCAGAGUUGAGGAUUGAACUAAUUUACAGAGUUAGCACUUCACCUGUUAUGAUAGUUGGCCAAAUGGUGCACGUGGCCAAACUAAUGAAGGUGACAAAAAUGACUACUUUUGAAAGUUUUAUAGUAUCACGAUUAAGAUUUAUAAUUUAGUGAUACUGCUGAAAGUCUCUCUACAAUAAUUAAGCAAGUUUAGCUUUCACAAAUUCUUUUCUGUUCUCAUUUACUACUCCCAAUGCAAUAUAACAAAAUUUAUAAAUAGAAACUCUCUUUAACUCUGUUUUCUCGUUGUAUAUGAGCAAUAAAAUUCGUCGUACUAGUAUGCAGGUGAUCAUAUGUUAUCAAAUUGGGAUCGUGUAAUCGUUUAUGUUAAAUGUAAUCUUUCAUCAUUUAAUUUACCAGUAUGGCCAAAGUAUAUGCUACCCUUUGGUUGUCUAUAUUGUGUAUGUAUGUAUAUUAUACUAUGUAUACUGCAUAUAUACAAUAUCUAGUAUAUACAUAUUUUAUAGUAUAAUGUAUACAUUACUCAUACAUUGUAUACAUAUGUGUAAACUAAAUGGCGAAAAACAUUUCACUGUAACUUUUCCUUGUACAUCUCCACUCCAUAAUAAGAGUAUAUCUAAUACUGAUUUAUUGGGCCUUGUGAUUAGAUGGACUCUCAUAUAUGUUGUUGGACUAACGCAACUUAAUAACAUAAAGUGAAAAUUAUCCCAAAUAUACUUUUUAGAUUAUUAAUUACAAAUUAUAGCAUAAUUUUUUUAUUAAUUACUAGACUUAAGAAAUAAUUACAAGUUAUAGCAACUUUUGAGAAAAACAUAUUUUAAUUAAAUUUUCAAAAAUCAAUGUUGUAAUAUUUAUUAUUUGUAUUAUUUCCUUAUAUUUAGCAUUUAACAUCUAUUACUAUUAGUUAAAGAUUUUGGAUAAUUAUGACAAGUUAAGAUAUCAAUAUUUUUUUUAUAAUAAUUAAAUAUCAAAGUUUAUCCACAAUUUAAGGAGAUAUAUAUGGUAAAUAUAUUUUUUAAACUUAAGAUCUGAUUUUAUAUUUUUUUAUUAACUUGAAUAAUUAACUUGAUUAUACUCUUUUUCAUAUUUUUUAGUCUUUAAUUAUCAAUAGAAGUCUUAUCUCUUUACCUUUUUUAAUUACCAAUAGGAUUCUUAUCUCUUUAAUUUUCAUUCAUUAAAUUUCUUCUAAAUAGUGACUAUUCCAUUCAUUAAAUUCCAUUCAUUACCUUUUUUAUUUACUAAUAAUCUCCUCGAUCAUUAAAUAGUGAUUCUUCUAAAUUGGACAAUUGUUUAGAUCUAUUUUAUAUUAAAUUAAGAACAAAUAGUAAAACACAUUUGUAUUAUUGUUGCUUUUAGUUUGUUUUUAUGCUUAGGUAGUGCUUAAUUAUUAAUAGUUAUUUCAUUCUAAAAAAAAUAUCUACUUUCAAAAAAAUAAAUCCUUUUUACAGUCAAAAGGCAGUCUUGCCAAUUCAAUUUUAUCAAAUCGUUAAGUGAUGAUAACAUAUAUAUAUAAUACACACCAACACAAUUUUGAUUUCACAUGUAUACCUUGAAAAAAAAAAACUUGUUCUUACACUCAUUCAGAAUUUCAAACUCGUGUUUGGCUCGUUGCUAACAUCUGAAAGAUAAUUAGCCAGAGCACAUUUCAUUGUUUUACCUGUAAUGUCCAUAUACUCGAGGAAGAUAAAUGAACAAGAAGACAUUCAUUUUUUAGAUACAUUAGCCAAACAAAGAUGCCUUUUAUUGAGUUUUUUUUUCGUGUGAGGUCUUUCGUAGAUGUAUUGAUUAAUCUGCAAGAUUGUUGUACCUUCAGUUUAUCGAUUGAGGGAUGGUUCCAAUUAGUGUAAUGAUGUUAAUUGUCAAUUAGUGCAAUGAUGUUAACUAAGUUUUGUUGAACACAUUUUCCUAGGAUAAUUCCACUUUUAAUAUGUUGAAAUCAAUUUAUAUACUCAUUCCAUACUUAAGUAACAUUUUUAUUUUAAGUUCUCAAUGUAUUAAAUUGAUAUCGAUGAAGUUUCGCAUGUAUCACAUUUGUAUUGAAUGAAUUUUAUGAAUGUGACAAUCAAGGAGAACAAUUAUGUUUUAUGUUACAUAACCUUUUUAGUGUAUGAAUGGAUAUUAUAUGAAAAACUAUCAACGUAAAUGUUGAAAAUAAAUUAAUUGAUAGUUGUUUGAUGUUAAAUAAUUUUUCGUUGUAAUAAAAAAAUAAUCAAUAUUAAUCAAGAUUGAUAUUUUUGUUUGCUUUCUGGCAAGAUGAAGAACAUUAUAUAAAUACUAUGUUAAAUAUCAAAGCUAAACUUUAUUCAUACCAACAAUCUUAUACAAAGAGUAAUGAGCACCAAUAAAAAUCAAGAUUCAAUAUUCAUGUCAAAUGUUACUAAUUGCAGAAUCGAAAAAUGUAUAAUUUGAUGUAGUUGAUAUCAAAUUUAAUACCAUCUGAUGCGACUUAGUUCAUAUCAAUUUCAUUCAACGAUGUAAAAUACGAAACAAAUGUUAGAGUAGCAUAACAUUAUAUAAAUACUACAUAAAUACAAAAAAUAAACUUUUUCAUACCCACAAUCUUAUAAAAACAAACAGUAAUAAUCGAGCACCAAAAAGUUAAUUCAAAUUAUUAACUAUAUUAGAAAAACAAACAGUAAAUAGAAAAAAUGAUUCAAUAUCUAUUUUAUACCAAUUUAAUACAGAAAAAAAAUUAAAUAUUUGUAAGUUUGUAUGUACUGCUAUAAUCCAUGAAUACAACUUUGUUACUACCAUAUCAUGUACAUGCUUACUAGAAAAAAUAAAAAGAAAUAAAAAUCGGGGUUGAUAGACAUGAUCACUAAGUGAGAAAAUAACAUAUAAAUGACCAAUUAUUCGGCAAAAAGUACUAAGAAUUCAUUGAUAUGCAUGUUGAUAUGUGAAUUUAUCAGAAGAAGCUACUUAAAUGGUGUACAAGAAUUUGAUGAACUAAAAAUCUGUAUGCUUUUUCUGUAAGAUGAAAGCUAUCCCAAAAAAUAUAAUCGGAAUCAUCGGAACACACCGAUGUGCAUAACUCUGCAACUUCUAUUUUUCCUGUCCCACAGUAUCUGUUUUCUGCAACUUUGAAUCCUGCACGGUCAUAUAAAGAAAGAAACGGAGAUCUUGUCGAUAUUCAGGAAAAAGACAGUCAUAUUUGUACCAUAUUUCUGAGGGCUGUUGAUGACAUCAAGUGGAAGAUUAUAUAUAUCAUACACCAAUCUUGAAUUAGGUACUUUGUUUUCUAGAGAACUUAAGUCAUCUGCCAACUUGCUGUUGAACAAUUGUGCUGCUUGGUUCAAAUAAUCAACACGUUUCCUUUCUUCUCCUCCUCUCAGUUUUCUUUGUGAUGGCAUGCAUCCGAUUGAUGGUAUGCCAAUAAAUAUUUAAAUUCAUUUAGAAGGCGUAAAAAAAUUAACAAACCUGAAGAAUCCCAUCUCUCUCCAUGACGGAUCAUGAUUGAAUGCAAAUUAACAGAAUUCAUAUUUUUUAUCUAAAGAAAUACUUGUUUUUUGCUUUUCUAUCAAAUUCUAAUCAACAUAGAAUGCGUUUUUUUGUUUGACGGUAGAGAGAAAUCGGGUAAAAAGUGACAAGUAGUGUAUGUAGAUGGAAACUCUUACUGCAAGCACUAAAAUAGGAAGAUAAAUAACGGUUUGAGGGAUUUGGGGUGGAUAAAUAUCAGUAAUUAAGGUUAACUACUUUUAAGGAUAAUUGUAUUAAAUAUUAAUUUUACUUUUUCAGUAAUUGCUUUUCUGUAUUUUCAACAAAAGAAAAGAAAAUCUUUUUAUAUAUUUUUUUAAGAUGAAAGUUGCUAUAAACUUGAAAACUUAAAAGUUUUGCUAUAAGUUAUAAUAACUAAUCUAAUAAGUUUAUAUAGUUACGUUUCCCAAAGAAAAAAAGAAACACACGCAUUAACACAAAAAAAAAAAAAUACUUUUUUUAGUAGCUAAAUAACAAAAGUUUAUCGUUGAUAACGAGGUUUUAUCAAAAGAUCACAUCGGCUAUGGGCAUAUUUAGUAAUAAAUUGAAAGCCAAUCUUAGUAGCUAAUGCAUGUUAUAUAAUUUAUCAAGAUUCAACCGUAGUGAAUUUUAAUUUGUCAUUGUUUAGUCAUCUUCAUCUAGAUCCAUUAAUUAAAUCUGUCUCUCUUAUGAUGGUUUGGUUUCCAAAUCUUUUGUGCUUGAUUAAAGUGACUUUAAUUUAGUGAUUUGUCAUUAUUGUUUUUUUUUUUUUUUUUCAAUUUUAAGGAUUAAUCUUAGUAGCUUAGGUGGUUGGUACUUGCAUUUAUACAAUUGCUAGUACAAAUCUAAUUCUGGACCUUGUAAUCUCCUUCACCCCCAACAUUUUUUAAUUAAAAAAAAUUCACUCAAUUUUGUACACUAAAACAAACUCGUUUUUCAGGUAAUUUUUUUUUUUUCAUAUAGAUCGAACUUUAUGGGGUGUAUGGUAUAGACAAAAAUAUGUUUUUUCAUGUUUGGUCACUCAACAAAAUUCAGAAAAAAAAUUUUAGAAAAUAUUUUUUUUAAAAAAUGAGGAUAAUGAUUUAAGUAGGAAAAAACAAAUUCAAAAUUAACAUUUCACGUUGAUUGUCCCUUAUCCACUCUCCAACACCCCCAUCCCCUAUAGCUUUCAUCCCUACCAUUACACACACCUUACCCUCGACCCUCUACCCCAUUGUAUUUUACGUACCAAAUAUAAGAAAAACGCUUUUUUCUAGAAAAAUAUUUUUCAUGGUAUAAUCAGAUUCACCCUUGAAAGUUGUAUUUUUUUUAUUUUUUUUUUGUCUUUUGGUUGCAUUUUUGUUGCGUCACCUUUCUAUAUCAUGAUCCUAAACUUGUAUGCAUCAUUCAACAUGUGACAUAGUGUUCAAUAAUGUGUACCUGUUUUUUGUAUUAUAUAAGUUAAUUUAUCUCGAAAAAUAUGAAGAAGUAGAUAUUUAAAAAUAAAAAUAAAAAUAUAUCUUGUGUGUUGUUUAUAUUAGUGAUAGUAAUAAAAAUACUGUUUAGUACUUAUUGGGAUGUUACUCUAACUCAUAAGAGCAAAUUAGGCACGCAGCAAAAGUGAAGUAGAUCUUACUAAUAUAAAACUCUCUCUCUGUUUUCUCAAAAAUGAUGAAUGCUCAAAGUCAAUUUUUGGUAUGCCAUUUACUUCAACUCUAGCAAUUCGUUCAUUUAUUCAUUCAAGUUAUUACUAAUUUUUUAAUAGAAACUUUUGCUUGUAAGUUGCAUUUAAUUUCUAGAUUUUGUUGCUUCAAGAAUGUUAUUACUAAAAAUGUAUCUUUAAUUUUCAGGGGACAUACCAACUUCCAUGGUUCUACUUGUUAGGUGUGGAGCCUGAUUAAUAUAUGAUGUACUGUUUAUAUAUUAAUGUCCACGCGGUUCAACCUCCGCGUGUGAGGUUGCCGUUCGCCGUGGACUUUACCCACGAGGUGUUACCAUGAAAUAUUUCUCUCUUCAUUCUCUCUCCUUAAGAAAUCUCUCUUUUCUUUAUCUCUUUUGCUAGAUCUAGUGUGUGUGAAGGUAAUCGAUGCUAACAUUACUUUUGUUACACUCAAAUUUUUUUCAAAUCUACUUGGUAAUUUUAAAUCUUUCUACAACUAUGAUUAUUUUAUAGAAAGAGAAAAAAGAAAAUUAAUUUGAGUUGCAUUUCAUGGAACAAAAAUGUAUCCAGAUUUUCUUAUUAUGUCUAGAUUUAUUUGAUUCUCACACACACACACAAAAACGAAAAAAGAAACACACACACACAUUAACACACGCAAAAAACUAUUUUUCUUUUUUACUACAUAAAUAACAAAAUUUCAUCAUAGACAAUGAGGUUUUAUCAAAAGAUUAUAUCGACUAUCAUCUAUUUAGCAAUGAAUUGAAAGCCAAUUUUAGUAGCUAAUUCAUGCUUUAUUUAUAUAUGUUUUCAAGAUUCAACCCAAUGAAUUUUAAUUUGUCAUUGUUUAGUCAUCUACAUCUAGAUCCAUUAAUUAAAUUUGUGUGUGUCUUUCUAUAUAACGUUUUGGUACAAAUCUUUUGUGCUUGAUAAAGUGACUUUAGUUUCGUGAUUUGUCAUUUUUUUUUCAAUUUUAGGGAUUAAUCUUAGUAGCUAAUUAGGUGGUUGGUACUUGAACUUACACUAUUGCUAGUGGUACUCUGAUUAUGCACCUUGUAAUCUCCUCCACCCCCAACGUAACUCUUUUUAUAUAAAAAAAUUAUGUCAAUUUUGAACACUAAAACAAACUCGUUUCCCCGGUAAAUCUUUUUAUUUUUUUUAUAUAGAUUGAACUUUAGCGGGGUGUAUGGUAUGGACGAAAAUAUUUUUCAAUUUCGUCAUGUUUGGUCACCCAACAAAAUUCAAAACAUUUUUUAGAAAAAUAAUUUUAUAAAAGAUUGAGGGUAAUGAUUUCAUUAGGAAAAAAAUAAACUUAGAAGUGACAUUUCACACUGAUUGUCCCUUAUCCACCCGCCAACACCCCACCUCCUAUAGCUCUCAUACCCACCAUCACACACACAUUACCCUCCACCCUCUACCCCCAUCAUGUUUUGCGUACCGGCCAAGCACAAGAAAAAAACUCUUUUUCUAAAAAAAUAUUUUUCAUGGUAUCAGGCACAUCCUUGCAAGUUGUGUUUUUUUUUUGGUGUCACCUUUCUAUAUCAUGAUCCUAAACUUGUAUAUAUAAAUUUCUUUGACAGAACAAAGAUUGAAUUGUCAUAUAACAUCAUGAAAAAUUCAAAUGAGAAAAAGUCACAAGUUAUAAAUCAAUACAUAGAUGCUAAAGUGAAUGUGGGGAACAAAGGGUUUUUAGAUGCUUCUAAAGUAAGACCCCGUGUAGCACUUGAGAAAGAAGCUGUUGUAGCAAGUGAAAUGUUGUUGAGAAAUAGGGCUUCUACAAGCUUGGCCAGCCAUGGUUUCAUUAGCUCAAUCCAACCAUGUGCUUUGGCUAGCACCAAACCAUUACCAACAUCAAGUGCAGCUCCAUUUACAAAUUGUCGUAAGCAUGGAUUUGCCUCCUACCUUGCACGUAAAGAGAGUGAACUAUCUGAGUACUACACUCGUGUAGAAAUUCGUUAUCCAAGAUAUGAAGUUAUUCACAAGUACGUAUGCCAAACCUGAUCUUUUUCUGCUUUGAUACUAUGUUUUAAGCCAUUUAUAUAGCGAGAAAAUUAAUUAAUUAAUUAUGUUUUGAAUAGGUACAUGGAUUGUGAGUUGGGAGUUUCAUGAGCAUACGAAUCACCGUACUAAUAUGCUUUUGAGAGCAGAACGGGAAAGUUUCAUCCAUUUGAACGCCGCCGCAUUAAGGGCUAGAUGCCUGGUGCACACUGAAGAGAAGUGCAAAAGGUGCAUCGAGAAACUCAGGGGUAAAGACGUUUACAUGUACUAGUAAUUAUCAAUUUGUGACAUACACACACACAUACAUACUCAUCACACACUCGAUGAUAGGUUUACUUGACUUUGAGCAGAGCAUGUCGUCAAUGAAAGAUUCAUAUCCUUACAUCCACAGACGCACAAGGAA